UUUCGCCUGUGUUUGAAAUCCAACCUGAUAUACAUGAUUUGUUCCACUAGGCUACUGGCUGAUUUAAACAGAGUUGCUCUUGUUACGCAGGCUGGAGUGCAAUGGCUCACUGCAACCUCCGAUCUUGGUUCACUGCAACCUCCGCCUCCCGGGUUCAAGCGAUUCUCCUGCCUCAGCCUCCCGAGUAGCUGGGAUUACAGAUUGUUUCCAGUUCUUGAAGACAUACACAUAUAAUUUGACACAGAUGUAAACAACGUGCAGAUGCUGCAUUGAAAUCUGAAUUUUAUCUUAGCUUUAUAUUGUAAACAUUCUACAUGAUACACCGUUUUUAGAUUUAUAUUUUAAUCAUUGUAUACCAGUCUGUCACAUAUCAAAAUCGACUUAAUCACAUUUUCCAAUUUUUGGAUGUUUAGGAUUUUUUCUUAUAAUAAAGAAUUCGCAAAGUACAUUUAGGGCUCUAAAAUAUUCAUAUGGCUUAUCCUUUAGGAAUUAUCUUCAGCUUAAAUUCCCAGAAAAGAACAUUCUCCUGAUGUUGAUUGACUAAUGUCAAUUUCUACCAGCAACAAAUGAGAAUUUUUAUGGCUCCACAUCCUCCCCAGCAUUGGUGUUGUCAAUGUUUUGGAUGUUGGCCACGCUAACAGGCAUGUAGUGAUAUCCUAUCCCAUUGUCGUUUGCAUUUCCCUAAUGAUGCAUGAUGGGGAGCAUCUUUUCAGAUGCUUAUUUGCCUUCUGUAUAUUUUCUUUGGUGAUAUACAUGUUCAGGCCUUUUGCUCAUUUAAAAAAUCAGGUUUUUUUUUAUUGUUGACUUCUAAGAUUUCUUUGUAUAUUCUGGAGAACAGUCCUUUAUCAUACAUGUCUUGUGCAAAUAUGUUCCCCAAGUCUGUGGCUUUUCUUCUUAUUCUACUGACAGUGUCAGUAGUAGUAGUAGAAUUUUUGUCAUUGAUACUGUUAGGUUAGUUAUGUUUGCACUGAAAAAUGUCAAUAGUAAGUAUUAUUGUUUUAAAUGUUUCCAUGUUAAGUGAAAAUCUUUAAACUUUGAGGAAGCUUAAAAUCAUGCUACACAAAGACACCAGUAUUGGUCACAACAGAAUAAAAAGAAGGGUGUAGAUGAGAAAGCAAUGGGUGAACAACAUUUUAAGAUAAGGAAAAAGAUUAAGGCAAGACAAAAUAGAAUGAAUUCAAAUGUACAUAUUUGUUUUUCUGCAUGACAGGAUAAGAAUACCUCCUGCAGGUCACAGUGAAGAUUUUUGUUGCCUUUUAAAAACAAGUGUUUGCCAAAGACUUCAAGGAAUAUGGGAUUAUGUAAAGUGACCAAACUUUUGACUUAUUGGCAUUCCUGAGAGAGAAGUAAAAGUAAACAACUAUUUGAGAGAAUAAUUAUUUGAGGGAAUAAUUUAGAUAAAUCUCCCUAACCUUGCUAGAGAGGCCCAAAAAUAAUGCUAAAGAAAAAAAUCUUAAAGACAGCUGGAGAAAAAGGUCAAAUCACCUAUAAAGGAAAACCAAGCAGACUAACAGCAGACUUUUCGCAGAAGUCCUACAAGUCAGAAGAGAUUGGUGGCCUACUUUUUGCCCCUUUAAAGAAAAAACAUGCCAAAAUUUUAGAAUGUUAUACCCUGCCAAAGUAAGCUUCAUAAAUGAAGGAGAAAUAGUCUUUCCCAGACAAGGAAAUGCUGAGAGAAUUUGUCACCACUAGACUGAACCUAUAAGAAAUGAUCAAAGGAGUUCUAAAUAUGGAAACGAAAGGACAAUUUUUACCAUCAGAAAAGCAUACAUAUGAUGGCCAGGUGUGGUGGCUCAUGCCUGUAAUCCCAGCACUUUGGGAGGCUGAAGGGCAGGUGGAUCAUUUGAGGUCAGGAGUUUGAGACCAGUCUGGCCAACAUGGUGAAUCCCCAUCUCUACUAAAAAUACGAAGGUCAGAGAUGCUAUAAAGCAAUGAAAAACUCCAAACACAAUCAAAACUACAGAACAACUAGCUAAUAACACUACGACAGUAACAGAACCUCAUAUAUCAAUAUUAACCUUGAAUAUAAAGGGCCUAAAUGCCCUGUUUAAAAGAUAAAGUGGCAAAUCAGAUUAAAAAGACCAGACCAAACCAUCUGCUAUCUACAAGAGAUGCAUGUACUGGCUAAAGAUACAUGGAGACUCAAAGAAAAAGGAUAGAAAAAGACAUGUGAUGCAAAUAAAAAACAAAAGUGAGCAGGAGUAGCCAUUCACAUAUCAGAUAAAACAGACUUCAAACUAACAACAGUACAAGGACAAAGAAAAGCAUUACAUAAUGAUAAAGGUUCAAUACAACAAGAUUUAGCUAUCUUAAAUAUAUAUGCACCAAACACCAGAGCACCUAGAUCCAUAAAACAAAUACUAUUAGACCUAAGAAAACAGAUUGAUAGCAAUCCAGUAAUAGUGGGGUGCAAUCAAUAUUUGGGUGAUGGGUAUACUAGAAGCCCAAUCCCCAGCAUGAUGUAUGUAAUACCCAUGUAACAAAUAAAUACAUGUACCCCACUGAAUUUAAAAUACAAUUAAAAAAAAUAAAAACAAGUGUUUGUAUCUUACCUCAAAAGUCAUUUGGCUCUUGCAUCUGUAGAAACAAGGAAAAUCCAGUCAGUUGUUUUUUUCCUUAUUUCUAGGAAGAAAGAUUUAUCCUGUAUAGUAUUUCUCAAGAAAAAUAACCUAAUAAACAGACAAGAAAUGACAAUACUGUCUCCAAAAUUCCUCACUCUGAAAUUAACUAAUGAUGCCCAAAGAUUAGAAAUAGACACUGUACAUACGUUAUGUAUACAUAUUUAUACAUAUUUUACACACAAAAAAGUGCAAGUUUAAAAAUUUCCCAAUCUUGCAUGUUAGUUGAUUCAUACAGAUUUUUCAAUAUUUUUUCUUUAAGUGACAUUAGUCCAUUACCAUAUUAGAACAUUUUAAAAAAUAAUCAUACUAUCUCCUUGAAGAUCUGUAACCAUGAAAAUUAUGGACCUUAUCAGUUUAAAUGGUUCUUUAACGAAUUAGCGAUUCAAAAGAAGAUUGCCUAGGAAGAAAUCAAUACCGUGUUGAUCAUUAUUUGAUUUUCAGUUAUAAACUAGAAAGGGACACUUUUAAUGAUGCGGAUGCUUCCAAAUAUUUCUGUGUGAUAAAUUGUUUGCAAUUUCCUCAGCAUUUCAAAAGUGAGUGUCUUCAGAUUAGAGUUUCUAAAUAAAUCCCUGUUCUAAGGG